ensembl:snRNA U1 U1 spliceosomal RNA
GUACUUACCUGGCAGGCAAGACACUGUGAUCACGAAAGUGGUUUUCCCAGAGCGAGGCUUAUCCACUGCACUCUGGAUGUGCGACCCCUGCAAUUUCCCCAAAAGUGGGAAACUGGACUACAUAGUUUGUGGUAGUAGGGGACUAUGUUUACGCUCUCUCCUG